CCGAAUGGUUGGUUGCCAUUCACUUUGCCAUCACAGAGAGUUUUAGUGACGAGUUGAUGUUGGCGAGCGACGCGUGUUUAUGUUUUUUAACGGAAAUCGAGUGUGUUCGUGUGUCGCCACUAAACUAACGAACGCGUGUGAGCUUACAGCGUCAUAAAGUUUCGUUUAGUAUUUUUCGCGAAUUAAUAGUGAACGGAAGUCGAAAAAGUUCUUAAUAGUGUGUGAGCGCGGCGGAUGCGGAUGCGGAUGUAUUAAGAAAGUUGUAAUAAACUAGAAAGUAAAUAGAAAUGUAAAAGGUAAAAGGAAAGGAAGCUGUGGGCAGAAUAUUCGUGCAUCCGUAAAUCCAUGCGUGUAGAUGAACAUAUGUAUGUAUGCAUUAAGUACACGUUGUUGUUGCACACAUACGUUCGGUCGGCUGUCGUUAAAUUCGCGCUUCCUCGAAAUUUCGCUGGCGCUUGAAUUCGAUUUGCAUAAAUAAAUGAAAAAAAAGAAGAAGGGAUCACAAAAAUAUACAAAAAUAAAAAUUACUGUAGAUUUUUGUUAAAAAAAAAUGUGUUAAAAACCUAUUGGUAAGCAUUUCAACACAAAUUGUGCAGUUGCCCAUAAUUUCAACGAAGAAGAAAAAAAAAA